UUCAUCAUUAUUUAUAACAUAUAUAUUUUUUUUUAUUAUUUUUUUACGCCGCUAUAUGAAAAAAAUUAAUUUAACGUUUGGCAUUUUUAUAUAGAUAAAAAUAAGUGGAAACAGACGUCUGAUUAUAAGAGAAAAUUUCUUCACUGCAAGUAGAAAAAGACAUAAGUGGAAAAAGACGAUUUGAGUUGAUAAAUACUUAGCAAGUUAUAUAUAUAUUAUUUAAAAUAAAUUAAAUCCAAGCGGAGUAAUAACAAAUAUAAGUAUAUGAUUGAUAAAAAAUAUAUAUAUUUAUAACUGGCUUUAAUUGAUAAAAUUUUUUAAUUUAUAGUCUCAUUAUGUGAUAAGAUUUAUAUGUCAAUUGAAAUAAUAUAAAUUAUAGAAAUUUAUUUAAAAUGUUUUUAGAAAAUACUUUCUCGAGUGAGGUAUAGUUUUAAUUCAUGGGAUUAGUUUGAAUGGCGAUAACCAAAUUAAUGCAGUAAACUAAUAAAUAAAAUAUAAAGGUAUUAUGACGAAAUGACAUUAGUGUUGGAGUUAAGUAGGGAUAUACGGUUCAAUGAGACUAUGGAGUUAUAAACUGAGCGAUGACGUAAUGACUUAAUACACAAAUAAAGAGAUUCGCCUAACACGCUGUUUUUUCACUUGAACUCCUUUCAUUCUCGUCCCGUUCAUUCCUAUUUCGGAGCAGCUUCGCGGUAUACGAGUAAGAAGAAAAAGAGUUUAAGUAGGUCACGGAAAAGCGGACAUGCAGGAAAUCAAAUUGGAACAUUGAAAGACAUUUGACAUGCGAAAAUGCCGUAAACGUUGCGGUAUUAUCUGUGUCCUCGGGCUAUUUGCCAGCUCACAUGCUCACAAACACACCCAAUAUAUCAUCACACAUUCGAACUCAUAAAACUUUUACGAAAUUUUUAUUUUAUUCCUUCAAAAAUCCAAGAUAUUUUAAACGUCAAAAAAAACCGCAUUAAUUUACAUAAACUAAUUAAUGUUUUUUUAAAUUAUUAUUUAAUCAAUUAAAAAAUUUUUAUAAGCUGUCACUUUAAUGACAAGUAAUUAAAUUAAUAUUUUUUUUAAAUUUUAAUUAGUAAUCAAUUAAAGUCUUAUGUAAUAUCGAAUGUAGAUCAUCGCAAUUCAGUGGACAUGAAGACAUCAGCAAUCAUGACACGAAAAUAACUAUAGUCUCUUUCAUGUAAGCAUGCAUAUAUAUUUAUAUAUAAUGUCGUGACGAGAAGACUAAGUACUGAGGCUCUGUACUCGUUAAAAUAUACACGACUAGACGAACAAUAUAAACAAGUAGUACGUGUCUUGUUGACGUUGCGCAACGUGCAAUAUAAGACAAGAAACUCUUAUUCGUUUGUGAUGAUUUAAAAGUAAAUAAUUUAUUCCGUACAUCUAUCAAUUUAUGUCUAAUUAGACUAUUGACAUUUCCGUGUGGAAUUAAAAUUAAUGUAAAAAAUAUAAUUACUGAGUACUAAUUACUUAUGUUUUAUGCCUAGUGUAUAAUUAGUCAGUAAUUGAAGGUAUAGGAAUAAAAAGUUAUGAAUUUGUUUAAAGUUUCUUAGCUGAGAGAUUGUUUCUGGUUUAUUCUCAAUAAAAUCUCAGGUUCUAGAGUCAAAAGAAAGCGUCAUCGUUUCAGUUAAUCGCGUGGGUGGAGAACCUACACGUAGUUCUGCCUUAUUUGGUGAGUGUUCAAAGUCUCGUGGGCGAUACAAACCUGAAACAGUCGAUCCACAGUCGUAUUUUGUAUUUACAGUACCAGGAAAACAUUGACAAUUGCAUUCACAUAUAGUACAUAUAUAUACAGCGGAUAUGAAAAUUUAUAAAUUUUAAAUAAAUAAAAUAAUCAAAUUUUAAAAAAUGCACGCGCAAAUUUUUUAAUCCAGGGAGUGGUCGUUAAAUUGCAGACUCAGACUUAGUACCCAAGUAUUGCAAGAGGAUUCACGCAAUAAGGAGUGAUCGAGAGUUAUUGGUUUGCCUUGAUGUGGAUCGAUUCCACCGAAAAGGGAUGUAUCGACGUAAUAUACCUCCUGAGAGUAUCAUUGUCGUUUUAUGGGAAUUGAGCGCGAGUACGUGCGAUUUAAUACAUAAAAUCAUCAAUCUUGCAGCACUCACAUUAUCAUCUUUCUUUUUCUCUUUUUACGAUUAAAGUUAACUUGAAUCUCCUUUUAAUUCGAAAUGAAAGCCAAUUAUUUACAGCUGCCGAUUCAUCAAUAAAUCUGACCUCGUAACUUUUAAUCUAUUAAUUUAUUUUACACUGUAAAAAGUAGGGAGUGAAUUCGGAUUUUAUUUAACUCCGAAUUUACUCCGUUACUCAGAGUUCCGGAAUUUAAAAAAAUACUCCGCAUUAAAUAAUUUAAUUUUAACUUUAAAAAUUA